UGCCAGCCGCCGCGGUAAUACGGAGGGGGUUAGCGUUGUUUGGAAUUACUGGGCGUAAAGCGCACGUAGGCGGAUUAGAAAGUUAGAGGUGGAAUCCCGGGGCUCAACCCCGGAACUGCCUUUAAAACUACUAGUCUAGAGUUCGAGAGAGGUGAGUGGAAUUCCGAGUGUAGAGGUGAAAUUCGUAGAUAUUCGGAGGAACACCAGUGGCGAAGGCGGCUCACUGGCUCGAUACUGACGCUGACAUGCCUAAGUCUGUAGAUCUAACCGGGUUUGAUA
rnacentral:rRNA from 1 species